AUGGUUGAACAAUCUUGUAUUGUAAUUGAUUUGUUAAUAAAUAAAAUAUAUUUUUGACAUUUUCAUCACAAGUUUUCAUCCUCUAAUGAACUUUAUUGUUGUGAUGAAGUCCUUAGGAUUAUUUAGGUUCGAUAAAGAGAGGAUUUAUCGAUUAGUCCUUAAAACUAUUCACAACCAAAUGAUAAGCUGUUAAUAAAGACGACAGCUUCUAUCGAGCAUAGGUCACUGC
rnacentral:lncRNA from 1 species